UGGCAGCAGCUCUCGGCCCAGGUCUUCAGGAAACACAGAGGAAGGAAGUCCCAGGUGGACAACUCCCAGGAGGCCAUACUCAGAAUAAGUCAGGAAAAGCAGGAGUAAAAGCCAGCAGUAAGGCCUGGAAGUCAGUAGGAGGGCCCUGGCUUGAGCAUCUAAGUUCAGGGACAGAAAUUAAAACAAGGACCCAGUGAUGUACAAGACCUGGGUGCUAGGGAAGGAGAUCAAAACACAGGUUAGGCAAGGCUCCGCCAGCAGCGAGGGUACCUGGCCGAGAUCAGACGUGGGUCGUGGACGCCCUGAUGAGGGUCCGGCUUAGGUCCAGAAAUACGGGUGAUAAAAGAGGCCUGGCCAGGGGCAGAGAACCAACUUGUGAUCCUGGCUACAGGGUCCUACACUGUUCUCCAACUCUGCCUUGCACGGAAUUGCGCAGAGGGCUUGUUAAAACACAGACUGCGGAGGGCGCCUGGGUGGCUCAGCCCGUUAAGCGUCCGGCUUCGGCUCAGGUCAUGAUCUCGUGGUUCGUGAGUUCGAGCCCUGUGAUGGGCUCUGUGCUGGCAGCUAAGAACCUGGAGACUGCUUUGGAUUCUAUCUGUUCUUCCUCUCUCUCUCUCUGCCCCUUUCCCACUCACACUCCGUCUCUCUCUCUGAAAAAUAAACAUUUAAACACACACACACACAGAAUGCUGGAGUCCUUGAUUCAGGAGGUCUAGGGGUGGGGGGAGCGCUGAGAAUCUGUAUUUCUGGGUAGUUCCCAGGGGAUGCUGAUGUUGUUGGUACAAGGACCACGCUUUGAGAACCACUGCUUUAAAUAUCUGGGGACAAGAUAUAAUCCUCAGGCUGAAAGCGUGUGACAACCCGGGAGCCAAGAGGAAAUCACCCAAGGUAAUGUUGUACCCUGAACGUGUGUAUUCUUCUGUCCCUUCCACACCUCCCAAAUUCGUGUGUUGAAGCCCUCACUCCAAAUGUGACUGUAUUUGGAGACCGGGCUGUGAGGAGGUGAUAAAGGUUAAAUGAGGUCAUGGGCGGGAUGCCCUAAUCCAACAGGGUUGGUGCAUUUAUAAGAAGAGGAAGAGACACCAGAACACACGUUCCCUCUCCUUCCCCUCCACCCCUCUCCCUUGUGAGGACACAGCAAGAAGGCCAUCUGGAAGCCAGGAAGGGCUCUCACCGGCACUUUGAUCUCAGACUUCCAGCGUCCAGAACUGUGAGAAAUACAAGUGUGUUAUUUCAGCCCCCAGUCUGGGGUGUUCCGCCAUGGCCACGCAAGCGGACUCAGUCAGGCAGACUCAGGGACCAAACAACGCGAGUAAAUACUGAGACUUUGUAGAAAGAGGGAGAAAGGUCUGCACGUACACCUCCCGAGCUGGCCGCACGGACGAGCCCACCUGUGGUUUCUGCUCGUCCAGACCCACCCUCACCUCUGACCCAACUUUCUCCGUUGCCUGCAUUCCCGCACAAUCCUAACAAGGAGGACUUUAAAAGCGCUUUCUCAUCUCCGCUCCUCUCUCCAUUUCUCUGCCACAGCCCCUGCCCUGCCCCAGGGCAAGCCUUCAUCUCUGGUUCAAGGUCAUGUCCUGAGCGUCCCAGCUGCCCCCCGUUUCCUCUGCCUCAGUCUCCCUUCACCUCUGCCCUCGGCUCUGGCCCCGAUCAAUCACCCUAAAGCACAGUCAGGAGAAGCAGGGGUCGGUGGGGAAAGCGAGGACCGAGCCAGCCAGCGAGUCCCUGAGGAGGCGGCAACCACAGGUCAGGGAGGCUCGAGGAAGAUUUAUUGGCCACUGAACUCAGCCGGAGGGCGUGGGGUAAGAAGGCAGAGAGUGUAAUCAAAGUGAUAUUUUAUGUUCCUCCGUCUCAGGAAAAUAAUUGUUCCACUGGAACAUCAUUACACUAUCGUUUUUCUACUCCUGUGCCACUUACAGGGAAAUAGAAACUCACUUUCUUCUUCUUAAUAAGCUGCAAUUUCAAUAACUCUAAAGGCUUUUUCUGAGACAGAGCCAUCCUCCAGUGAUGUGGUGAGGACAGGCGCCCCCUCCAGACUCCCAGGCGGGGGGAAGGCCUGACUGGCUCCUGGGGACAGCUGUCCCUUCUUCUUGAUACUCUCCUUGCCUGUCAUCCAGGGGACCAACUGUCCCUAUUCGCCCGGGACUAAGGGGUUUUCCAAGAUGCUGGACUUCCAGUGCUAAACCCAGGUCAGUACUGGGCAAACCAGGACAGUUGGUGACUCUGUCUUCCACCCACUGGGGACAAGAAAGCAACAUUGUGCAUUUAACAAGUAUUUGUUAAGCACCUACAGCAUGCCAGACACUCUCCAGAUGGCUUGGAAACGGGCAGAUGCCAACAACCGAACACUUGCCCUCAGGAAACUUGCAUUCGAGUGGAGAGAUAAACAAUAAACAUACUAAACUCGUUCUGACUGCUAUAGAAGUCCAUCAGGAGGCUGUCGCCAUAACACCAGUCAUGAUCUCAUGGUUUGCGAGUUCGAGCUCCGCAUCAGGCUGUCUGCUGUCAGCACGGAACCUGCUUCAGCUCCUCUGUUCCCCACUCUCUCUCUGCCUCUCUCCCACCCGCGUG